UGGAUGAGAGCCGCUACCUUGGUAAGUAACCUUCCUUCAGCCACGCUCUGUCAAGCAGCGGCCUAAGGGCAGAAAGUCAUGACAACACCCAGAAAAAGGAAGCAUCCUGUGCAUUAUAUUUAAGUGUUAAUUUUAGGAGAAGCCCUCAUCUGUCAUUAGCUGUGUGCCAUUAAACAAGUUACCCAGAGCUCUGUGGCUUAGUUGCCUCCUGUCUGAAAUGCUUCCCCAGGUUGCAGACUGUGGACAGGGUACUCUGGACAGCUGACUCUUGGUUUGAUGAAUCAACUCUUGUCUCCUAGCAUCUGUGACAGUGUAACAUCAAAGAGAAUGUACUACAAAGCUAGAAAUGCUAAUUUCUUCUCUUCCAUCAUUAGUUUGUGCAAU